UACGAAGGUCCCGAGCGUUGUUCGGAAUCACUGGGCGUAAAGGGAGCGUAGGCGGCGUGGUAAGUCAGAUGUGAAAUCCCGGGGCUCAACCCCGGAACCGCAUCCGAUACUGCCAUGCUAGAGGACUGGAGAGGCAACUGGAAUUCUCGGUGUAGCAGUGAAAUGCGUGGAUAUCGAGAGGAACACUCGUGGCGAAAGCGAGUUGCUGGACAGUAUCUGACGCUGAGGCUCGAAGGCCAGGGUAGCGAAAGGG
rnacentral:rRNA from 1 species